UUUAGUUAUUCGAAUUCGAAUGAAGCGAGUACACGUGAUUUUCAUGGUUGCUUUUGGCGAAAUGAACGGCUGAUUCGUGUACCGGCGUCUGAUUUGUGUUUUUGUGGUAGUAAUGGUUCGUUGUUAGGUGUUGUGUGAAUAACAGUUUUCGUCAGUUUUUAGUAGGAUGUGUUUUGAAUAACUCCGCUUGUGGUAUGCUCGUCGUCGUCGCUUGUGCGUUAUGUUCCUUUGGUUCGUUACGAGCGAUGGAUUUAGAGUUGUUUUUUUCAUUUUCAAUAUUCGCGUAUAAUGUAUCGGAUAUCGGGUGUAUAAUUUCAGUUGCAUGAAUUCGUGAUUAAAUGGACGUGUAUAUAGUGUGCAAUUACGUACUACUGCUAUGUGUGGAACUGUGGAUAUUAUGGAGGUUCAUUUAAAUUUCAUUUUGCCCGCUAAAAGGUGAAUGGAAUCAAUUUUUUGGGAUAUCAGCGCGAAAUACUUGGAUGAUUUUUGAAGAAAAUGUGAAGUGAAAUUUCGGAUCGUACGAGAAGAACAGAAAUAUAAAGAAAAGCAAAUAACAUGGAAGAAAAACGAAGAAGUAGUUUCUGAAAUGGUGGAGAUUCUUCUCAUACUGCAUUAGGUAUUUAUUAUUUGGUUUUAAUUUUUAUUACUCAAGUAACCCAGAUAUUAUUUAUUUCGGAUCAGUAUGUUAUGUUCUCAUUUUGAGAAUGAUGAAAAACUUGUGAAAUUUUUUGAAAUCGAGCGAACUUUGCGCCUGUUAGUUGAAGAUUAGGCAAACUUACCUACAUGAACUUAUUGAAAAUUGCCUAGUUUUUUGACUGAAUGCCUUCCUUCUUGAAACACUCUGCAUAGUGGAAAAAAAGAACGUUUUAAAGAACAAUAUUUUUCACAAUUUCUAUGAAUCUGGGGAAUCAAAAAAUUGAGUUGAUAUUCGGACUCAACUUCCUCAAAAACUUUAUCAACGAUUUGUCGCACAGCAUUAUUUGUUUAUUUUCAGCUUCAAGCCGAUUUCUCCUCCCAACUCUUUUUUCUCAUAAGAGGGUUCAUUCCCCAACUUUGUGGCAGGUGGGAUGGAGGGGGAAGAAGUAAGAAAUGAUUCUUUUUUUUUCAUUCUGCGUACCCUAAAUGCAGCACUCAUACUCGGUUACUUUAUAAGUAACAAAAUUUUCAGCGUCACGGUUUCAAAUCCCUCAUUAAAAUUUUCAAUUUUCAAAGUCUCAAUUUCUGCAAAAAGUGGUAAAAAGUCUCGGCUUUCGUCAAAACUGGUAGAAAUUGCAAAAAAUGGUCGCUUGUUUAUAAAAAAGUCCAAAUGUCUCACUUUUUUCCAAAAACUGACUAAAAGUCUCGUUUUGUUGCGAAAAAUUGCAGAAAAAUCUUGCCUUUUUGCUAUAUAACAAUUGUCAAAGUAACAGUUUCCAAAAAAAAAGUCAAGUCUUGUUUACCAAAAUAAAGGUGACAAAAAAGUAUCUUUUUUUUAUACAUAGUUUUUAGUUUACCAAGUUGCUAAAAAAUUUGUUUUUUUACAUACUUACUCGUACCUCCAAAUGACAAAAAUUGCCAAAGCCAAAAAGUCUCACUUUUCUGCUAAAAACAUUUGCUACAAAGUUCAUCGUUUUUGCCAAAAAUCACCAAAAAUUGUCGCUUUAUUGACAUAGAUUCCAAAAGUAAAUUUGAAUUGAUUCUAAAAUUAUUUGAAAGUCUCGCUUUUUUAUCAAAAGUUGCCAAUAAAAAAUUUCACUUUUUUGCCACAAAUUGCCAAAAAUUCUCACUCACUAAUCAGUAAUCACUAAGAUGAAAAAUUCCCAAAACAAUCUUUUUUCUGGAAAAAAUUGGGUUCGAGCAUUGAUCACUCUGAUUUUUAUAAAUUUCCUAGUUUUGAGGGAAGUUUUCAAUAUAUUUUGUAAUUAAAUACCUGAUUAUUUUUUUCACAACAAUGUUUCUUUUUUUGCUCCCAUGAAAAAAUUAGUGAUGAUAAAAGGUCGUACUUUUUUCAUGCUCUACAAUUUUUAUUUGCUCAUUUUUUUCAUAUCUGCGUUACUCAAAAGUUAUUAUCUAAAAACCAAAAUGUGGACUCUUCAAAAAUCUCUAAGGGGGCAAAAUAUGCACAGAUUUUUGGAAUUUUAGGAAUAUUGAAACACGAACUAAAAUUUCCCCUUUCUUGUAAUUUUAAAAAUUUUUUUUAUUCAAACCCAAAUGACUUGUAAGUUUCUACUGUGUAUGCAAAUUUAAGACGAUUGUAUUUUGAUUUUUCAAAAUAUUAUUUAGCCUCAGCUCUUCUUCUUUUAUACACGUGGUUUUCCAAAAAAAAAAAAAAAAAAAAAAAAAAAACUCAUGAUAUCAGUCCAAAUUAAAGAUAUUAUUUCGGUUCAGUCGACUCCUUAGGAAAAAAAACAACAACAACAGAAAACGAAUUAAAACCCAUAACCCAUCAACGAAAAAAACGAAACAAACAGUGAAUAAUUUUUGUCGAGGAGGAAAAAGAUUAAUGAGGUUUUCUAGCCUGAAACAAAAAAAAGAAAAAAGAAAUUUUUUAAUUAAAAUUUUAUUACGUUUAAGUAAUAAGUAUACAACUUUCUUCAUCUACUUAGGUGAAUUAAGUAAACUUAUAGUGACGUUUCUUUCGUACAAAUUAUAUUUUCGAUUUUUUUUUGCAUUUUUUCGAAAUUGGAUCGAAUUUAAGAGCAUAAUUUUGCAUUUAAAAAUUUACUAUGUACAUAUAAAGUAAGUACCUACCUAUACAAUAGAAUACAAAAUAUUAACAUAAUUAUAUCAUUCUACUAAUUUAUUUUUAAUGAAACGAACGUUGGCAACACUGCCUAGUUAUUAAAUUUUCUUCAUGCUGCAAAAAAUUCAGAAUUUUCCUGAACCUGUUUCAAAAUUUGAACUCUUCAAAAAAACAAAUUUUUCAAAAUGGUGAAAUGAAGAAGUGACGUCUAGAAAAAAAGACUGUAUUGCCUCUUGAAAAAAGUUGAUAUUCAUGGAGAAAAUUGAAAACACUCUUGAGGACUACAGAAGGGUCCAAACGUGGUUGUUUUCAAGUUCUAGAGUUGAAAGAAGAAGUAAUUACUCACAUUUUGGUUCGUUUUAUCUGGAAAAAUAGGUGUGUAGGCGAGGUAGGUAUUUUCAGAAGAAAUUGGAAAUUUGAUUUAGUUGAUUUGAUGGAAAAUUCAUGGUUUUCCUCAUUUUUGAGCAAAAUGGGGGGAGGGGUGAUUCAUGUUGGCUACGUUAACAUUUUCACCUUUUGAAUUGCUGACUAUUUUUUUCGUAUUUUUUAUCUUUUUCUAAAAUUACACAAUUGAAUUUUUUAUUUCGAUGUUUUGAAAAAUUGGUGUCUUGGGUUCCCAAAUUUUCAAAAAAAGUUUUUGGCAAAUUUAUUUUUUUGCCAUAAAGAUGGCAAUUUGGGCAAUGGGAAUAGAUCGCUUGUGAGAAAUUCAAAAUUCGGUGUCUCAAAAGGUCGAAAAAUAAGAAGUAAUGAAAACAAUUUUCUUAGAACUUGAAGUAGAAAGGAGCUGUGGGCGGAAUUCGCGAAGCUGUUGGUUCUUCGUCAAAAUCUUGAGUCAAUGAAAAUGGGAAAAACCCUAGGUAUUCAGUUAUUCGCGAAUGACGUUACAGAAAAUGAGAAAGAACCCUCUCUCUCCUCCUGUACACGAUGUAAAUUGAUCCUUGACUCAAUUCUUCGGUGGCCUUUUUCGUACUAUAAUAUUUAAUGUUUUGUAAAGAUUCGCGUUCUCCAACAACAUCAUCAUCAUCAUCAUCUAAUGACCUUGGCACGCGACGAAAAAUAAUUCAAUAAAAAUAUGUCCGAGUGAAAAUGAAAAUUUCUCAACUCGAAGGGUAGGUACUUAAAGAGUACCUACGAAGCGACACGCAGAAUAGCAGUCGAUUCUCGACGUUGAAAGAAAAAAGAACGAGAGAAAAAAAAGGCUCGACGAUGAGGGAAAAAAAGUGGAAAAUAGUAACGAACUUUUGUACUAUUUUUUUCUUCUUCAGUGUAGAGAAUUUCUUCGUAUACUAAAAUCUCGCGUACGUUUAUUUUGGAUUAAGCGUAAAGAAAAAAAAAAUGGUCGCGUUGAAAAAUUAUCUGUCUUCGCUUUUGGUCAAUUUCGAUGUCUCGUAACGAUACCAAGAACAUUUCAAGAUGAAGAGAGAGAGUAGACAGGAAUAAAGGAAUGAGAGAAAAAAAGAAGGAGGUCAAUUCCACGGUGAUGAGAGAAAGAAGGAAGAAGAAGAAGAAAAAAAGGUCUGCAUUCUCUCGUUAUAUCGCGUAAAUAUCAUAAAUAGGGCAAAGCGGAAAACGAAAUAAUACCUUAACAUUUGCCGCGUGGUGAACGACGACGAGUCGACGAAUCGAGGGAGGACGAUUGAGAGGGUUCCAGGGCCCAAUGUUUACAAUUUGUUGGGGUUUAGUUUGGGUUUUCUGUUUCGACGACGAUGUGUGCAUCUUGAGUUGUUACUUUUGUGUGUGCUUUUUUAUCGAAUGUUUCGAAACUCUUAAACGUCGACUCGUGCGCUUCUAUAUUGGAAUAUCGGUGGCUGCAGAGUGAGAUGAGACGUCUUCGUCGUGAACAUUACAGAGUGGGAAAAAGAGAUGCAAAUGUACUUGUACUCGUACUUCGUACUCUGCCAAAGAAGAAGACCAGUGUCGUAAAAGAAGAAAAAAAGAAGUGGUUUAACGAAUUACCCAGGGAAUAUGUUCGUCGUCGUGGCCCGAAUCUCGGUUAAAAACGAAAAAGAAGGGACAAUAGAUGAACGAAGCAGCUGUAUUCUUUCUUCGUAAUACACCUGGUGGUGCGAUCUUCGAGUUCUAAUAUUUAAUAAGAACCGAAUAAAGUACACAGAAUCUUUUCACAAAGGAACAUCUGUUCUUUUUUACUUUUCCUUUCCUUUUCUUUUUUUUUUUUACUCAAGUAAACCCCAUAUAUGUACUAUGCAAUGUGCAUUCGUCGUGGCAUAGUUGCGCUAAUCAAUUGUACGAUACUGGUUUCCGCUUGGCCUUUCUGCUCCGGUACUUUCAAGAUAUACCUAUGCGUAGGUACUGUACGAGUAUUUGCAAAGGAUAAUGAAAUUUUCGCGUUUUUCCUUCCUAUUUCCUCUUCUCGUAUCCCCCUCUCUCAUCUCUGGGCGAAUGUAUCGUCAAUAUAGUAAGUCAACGAGCACGUGGGUUAAAUUGUUGUUGUUGUAUGGUAUCUUUAUAGUAGCGAAAUUCAGAAAAAGAGAAGAUGCGAGAUGAGAUGGUAAGGUCUACUCUACGACGUCGCGUAUAUUGAUAUAUUAGAGUUGUGCCAAGAAAAUGAAGAAGUAGUGAAGGGAGCAGACUACACGUUGGUGUGGCCCGAGCCUCGCAGCUAUUAAUUGUACGGCGAUUACAAAGUUAUAUAGUAACGUCUUCUUAAGACUAUAGGUAAAUUGUAAAGUCAUUUAUUUUGUUAUUUUGCCGGCGUGUGUUAAGCUUUUAUGCCAAAAGAAAGGGGUCGAUAUUUUCCAAGUAUCGGUUUUAAACGGUGUUUUGUUUUAUUCUUUUUUUCUCUCUCUCUCUCUUCGUCGUUUUAUUUUUACGCCAAUGUUCUUCUUUCGUUGUCGUUUUACUUUAUACACUUCUUGUACAACGAGUAUUUUGUUCGAUUCGAGAUACGUCGCGUCGUGUAACGAAAUUAAUUUAGGGGUUUUUUUUGAUGCCUUUGCUGCUUCUUCUUCGACACUACGUAGUCUGAUGUUAGGGGUGGGAAAAUUUUAUACGAGAAUUGGAUGAUUGAUGUAAGAAUGAUUUUUAUGUAAAUGUUGCGUAGAAGGGGAAGUUUAUAGUGCUAGUUUUGGGUAUACUUUGAAUAGAGACCUUUAAAAAACAAAGCAAAAAAAUGUGUCUAAUGAUAACGAUUAGGUAUUUUAUCUUUAUACUCCAUUAGCGAAGUGAAAGAGGGUGGAAAAUGUUUUGAUUUGUAAUUUAAAACGAGAGGAUUGAUUGAUAGAAGUAGGGCUUCGUAGUCGGCGGAGUUUUCCCACUGUUUCCUUCAUUAGCGAAUUGUAUCGAAAGUUAAACGAUGGAAUUUUCCUCCAUAGAGGAAAAUGUUUAACGGGAUUUGGAAUUUUUUUAGUUUUAGAUUGGUCGAAUUUAUUUUUAAUAUUUUGGCUUUUUUGAACUUUUUUAUUAAGAAAUGAGGCAUGAGUUUUUGAUCGAAGGUUUUAUACGUAGGGGGAAACCAGACUUUCAAUUAUCUGAUCAAGUUUUUAAACUUUGGUGAUAUCUUGAAAAUUUUUGGAAAAUUUUGGUCUCAUUUUACAGUCAUUUGUACGUAUUUGGAAAAAUUUAUCUUUUUUUGAAAAAGUACUCUUGAGUUUUUUUUUUUUAUAAAAACGAAAAGUUGCAAAAAAGAAUUAUUUUGCCAAUUCCUGCAUGUUGUAGACAUUUUCAAAGGCUUGACUUGACAAAAACUCUCGCUGUUUCGCUACGAGAACUUGUCAAAAAAAUAUCACU